rnacentral:rRNA from 1 species
AUUGAACGCUGGCGGCAGGCCUAACACAUGCAAGUCGAGCGGAUGAGAGGAGCUUGCUCCUCGAUUCAGCGGCGGACGGGUGAGUAAUGCCUAGGAAUCUGCCUAGUAGUGGGGGACAACGUUUCGAAAGGAACGCUAAUACCGCAUACGUCCUACGGGAGAAAGUGGGGGAUCUUCGGACCUCACGCUAUUAGAUGAGCCUAGGUCGGAUUAGCUAGUUGGUAGGGUAACGGCCUACCAAGGCGACGAUCCGUAACUGGUCUGAGAGGAUGAUCAGUCACACUGGAACUGAGACACGGUCCAGACUCCUACGGGAGGCAGCAGUGGGGAAUAUUGGACAAUGGGCGAAAGCCUGAUCCAGCCAUGCCGCGUGUGUGAAGAAGGCCCUCGGGUCGUAAAGCACUUUAAGUUGGGAGGAAGGGCUUACAGCGAAUACCUGUGAGUUUUGACGUUACCGACAGAAUAAGCACCGGCUAACUUCGUGCCAGCCGCCGCAGUAA